UUCCCACCAAUUUGUUUUCUCUGUUUCCAUUCUUUCUUCUUCAUUUUGGUGUCUUCUUCAAUUCCACUUUUUCCUUUUGCUUUCGGUUGAGUUUUAGAGCUGCUGAGGGCUUCCAUCUUCAUUAUAUUUUUUGCGAUUUUAUUUCGGGUUCUUUUUCUUUGAAUGGUCUGAUUUUUUGUGGUUUUAUUUUUGGAACAUGUUACAGUAACAACGGCGGCUUUGGCAAAGAAUUUGUGGGAGAAGUUAAGAAGAAAAUAGAGGCUCUUCAAACUAUUGGAGAUUCUCUGUAACUUCAAUUCAAGCAAGUUGACGUUGUCCAAUAGAUCAAAGAUUUCUAUAAGAUCUCCAGAAUCAAGUGACAAGGAGAUUCAUGCAUGCGAAACAAAUCCAAAAAGAAACACAAACAAGAUACAUAGAGAGUAUGGUUCAGGGUCGUGCUACUCUUAGAAAGCAAUGAGUAAUCCCUUUGCAGGGUGCUCACCAAGUGUUUGAGAAUAUCACGCAGCGAAAGAUCCCCGAAACCCAAAUUCACGCAAUGUGCCUUGCAUGCCCAUCAAGCCUAAUUUGAAGUGGCCGAAAGAGGCAUGGAUUCUGGGUCAAGAUGUUUCUGUCGGGUUCACUCCAACCACGUAUACUAUUCUUUUCCCUCACUUCUGGUUCCCGCUGUGUGCUCUGCUUCACACUACUGCCUCUCAUCCACUCCCUAUCGCUG